UACAGAGGUCUCAAGCGUUGUUCGGAUUCAUUGGGCGUAAAGGGCUCGUAGGCGGUUUGUCGCGUCGGGAGUGAAAACCUUGGGCUUAACUCAGGGCUUGCUUUCGAUACGGGCAGACUAGAGGUAUGCAGGGGAGAACGGAAUUCCUGGUGUAGCGGUGAAAUGCGCAGAUAUCAGGAGGAACACCGGUGGCGAAGGCGGUUCUCUGGGCAUGAUCUGACGCUGAGGAGCGAAAGUGUGGGGAGCGAACAGG
rnacentral:rRNA from 1 species